UCCCUGGUGGUCCAGUGGUUAGGACUCUACACGUCCAAUGUAAGGGGCCCGAGUUCGAUCCCUGGUCAGGGAA